UAAAAAGAAAAACUGAAAUAAAGCGAUAGUUUCACUACUAUGUACGUCAGUGUCAAGUUCACCGAACCAACACAGGAAAUGAUCCACAUUUAACUUCAUAAUAAAAGCUGCAUAGGUAUAAUCAGUAUACUUUGUUAGAUGUUGACCUUAAUAUUGAUUGAAAAAUGUAAUAAUAUAAUAUACCGUUAAUUAGGUUAUAUGUGACAUUAAGUUAAAAAGAUUUUAAAUGUGUAUAUGUGAUAUAUGUAUAAAUGUAAAUAAUAACAAUAUGACAAAAGGGAAGUAAGCAAACAAUGAAACAAAGAUCUCCCUCUUUGCUUACAUCAAGGUCAACAUGCUGUUUAUUGUAUUACCCAUAACACACACGACAAACACGUACACAAAAGACGCCUAACAUUUGCACAAAAUUCUACAGUAAAAUCAGAAGGAUUUAUUAUUAGUAGUAGUAUGUUAAUGCGGACUGAAGGGGAGCUUAACUCGGACUCGUUCGUAUUGGCUUACAGGCUCACUAAGUCAAACUUUUGAAGACCUUUACUUUGAAAAGGAAAAGCGAGCCAGACCUCCCGUGUCCCUCACUGGGAGUUUACCAGGUGCAUCGUGCACAGGCAUGUGAUGCUGUGCUGCUGACUGGUCGCAGAGGACGUUGCGCAGCUGCCUUGGAAAUGUUAGCCCGGUCGGAGCGGGAUUCUUGGAGCCACAAGUACCGGAGACAGCUUUCCACUGACGUCCAGCAGUACCGGCAUAUGACGGAGAUACUACACCGGUCGAGCGGAAUGGGAAGGAAAAGCUGAAAACUGAACAGAUAAACACAAGCAGGAAAUGUAUCAUUGAGCAGUAUUCAGGCUGCCAUCAGCUGCACCAUCUUGAAUAUGGAGAUUAUUAAUGACUUUUAUUUAUAACACUGUAUUUUCCUAAUUAUUAAUUUUGUACUGUUUACCCUUGUUUUUAUACAUGGUUGAAAACAUGUUGUAUGGUUAUAUCUUUAACAGACACCACACAGCCAUAUAUGUAAAUUCAAAUGAUUGGUCAACAGAUACAUUUUUUUAACUGAUUUUAUUUUCAUUACAAUCUAGGUUGUCCAGUCAGAACAGGAAAGCUAUGAAAUCAGCACAUUAGAGUUGAUUCUGUUAGAUUUGUAUUGUUUAUUGUCAUUUAUGCUUAGAAAUAUUUACUCAUAUAUGCUUAGAAGUAUAUAAUCAUUUGUAGAUUGAAAGAAUGUCUCAUCCUAGGAGGCCUGUAACAACUCUGUGUAGCAUGAAGAGGGGAGUGUGUUCACUCCUC
rnacentral:lncRNA from 1 species